rnacentral:sRNA from 1 species
CAGAAAACAGCGCAUAGGGUAGGCUGGGCCAGCCGAGGAUUAUGUGAAGGUUCGUUGGGACCCUCCGGAGGCCAGUGGGGUACUGCAAAGAGCCAUGGGGGUGUUGAUGUCCAAGCGGCAGACAGUGGAGCAGGUGCAGAAGGUGAGUCUGGCUGUGUCUGCUUUCAAGGAUGGGCUGCGGGACAGGCCUUCCAUCCGACGCACAGGUGAGCUGCCAGGGUCCCGCCGUGGUACCGUAGAGGGCUCCGUCCAGGAGGUACAGGAGGAGAAGGAAGCAGAAGCAGGAACCUCGGUGGUCCAGGAAGAGAGUAGU